AACGAACGCUGGCGGCAUGCCUAACACAUGCAAGUCGAACGAGACCUUCGGGUCUAGUGGCGCACGGGUGCGUAACGCGUGGGAAUCUGCCCUUGGGUUCGGAAUAACUUCGGGAAACUGAAGCUAAUACCGGAUGAUGACGUAAGUCCAAAGAUUUAUCGCCCAAGGAUGAGCCCGCGUAGGAUUAGCUAGUUGGUGAGGUAAAGGCUCACCAAGGCGACGAUCCUUAGCUGGUCUGAGAGGAUGAUCAGCAACACUGGGACUGAGACACGGCCCAGACUCCUACGGGAGGCAGCAGUGGGGAAUCUUAGACAAUGGGCGCAAGCCUGAUCUAGCCAUGCCGCGUGAGCGAUGAAGGCCUUAGGGUUGUAAAGCUCUUUCAGAUGGGAAGAUAAUGACGGUACCGAUCAGAAGAAGCCCCGGCUAACUCCGUGCCAGCAGCCGCGGU
rnacentral:rRNA from 1 species